UGGAAGGCAACUGCAAUAUAGAGGAUUUGGAAGGUUGUCUGUUUCUGUUGUCUGGGGAAAUGAUAAAAAAAAAAAAAAAAAAGAGAGAGAUGUGAAAAGGAAAAAGAUGGACCAGGUGAUUUUUCCAAUCUUCAAAAUUUAAAUUUCUUGGUUCUUAUAAACAUAGGAAGAGUCACUGAAAGGUGGCACCAAUGGAUAUUUUGUAAAAUAACCCACAACUUUAGAGCUGGAAAGGACUUGAAGAAACAAUUAAUCCAACUUCCUCACUUUUUUGUCUCAGGAAACUGAAGCCCAAUUGGGAAAACAGCAACUUACUUAACACAGCACCUGACCAGAGUAGACAUUUGAUAAAUAUUUGUUGAGUUGAAUUAAUCCUGCCAUCUAUCCCUUUUUACUAUGCAAUCUUUAUUUUUCCUGGAGCUUCUUACUUUUAACUUUAAGAGAUGGCUUCUAGUUCAAGUAUUUUGAGGCUUGGUACCCAAUGCUGAUUUGUCAUCUCUCUAGAUUUUACUUUUUCAUAUUGAAAUUCUUUUUUUAGUCUAUUCUCUUGUAGCUUUUGUUACAUCCAAUGAUCAUUUGCCUCUCUCCAGGCACUACCAAACUCAUUACUGUGGAUAGUUUCUGCCUUUACAGGCUUAGAAUUGACAAAUUGAGAGACACAUUUUUUUUUCAAUUCUCAAAACAACUAGACUCUUUCCAGCAGAUUUGCUAAGGCACACUAGAAGAAAUGUAAAAAUCUCACAUUCUUGUUCUAGUUAAUACAUGGGAGAAUAUUACUAAUACAUACAUUUGUUUUCUACAUUUGUGGUUGCCUUAUACAUCUCCUUCACGUUUAAUUCCUUAAACACAUAAAUAUGAGUCAUGAUAUCUAAAGCCAGUCUCAUUUAAACAAGAUAAGAAAUGGUUUGUGGGGAAUUAGCACUUAGACCUUGGUAAUGUUUAGAAAUCAUCUUUAGAAACUUGGUGAGAAUGCCCUAAUUUUAUGUAAAGGGUCGUCAUGGUUUGAAUGGGACUUAGUAGUAAAGUGUGUGAGACAGUGCAUUUACCAAAUGAUAUUUUUUUGUGGAUUUAAUUUUUUGUUAGUUUUGCUUGAAAUUCCUGUUAAAUUGCAUUCUGGACAUGACCUAAGGCUAGCUUGUCCAACCCUUGGCCCAUGAUGGUUUUGAAUGUGGCCCAAGACAAAUUCGUAAACUUUCUUAAAACAUUAUGCUAUUUUGGCCAGGCGCGGCGGCUCAUGCCUGUUAUCCUAGCACUCUGGGAGGCUAAGGCGGGUGGAUCACCUGAGCUCAGAAGUUCAAGACCAGCUGGCCAACAUAAUGAAAUCCCAUCUCUACUAAAAAUACAAAAAUUAGUCAGGCGUGGUGGCACAUGCCUGUAGUCCCAGCUACUCGGGAGGUUGAGGCAGGAGAAUCACUUGAACCCGGGAGGCGGAGGUUGCAGUGAGCCGAUGUCGUGCCACUGCACUCUAGCCUGGGUGACAGACUGAGACUCCGUCUCAAAAAAAAAAAAAAAAAAAAAAACAAAAAAGAAAAUGCUAUUUUUUGGCCAUGUUUUUAAAGCUCAUCAGCUGUUGUUACUGUAUUUUAUGUGUGACCCAAGACAAUUCUUCUUCCUAUGUGGCCCAGGGAAGCCAAAAGAUUGGACCUCCCUGACUAAGGUCUAGAUAUGCUGGAAUUAACAUAUAAUCCUCAUUUUUAGAAGAGUUAAAGUUACCACUCGAACUGGGAGCAUUUCUAUAAGCAGGCUGGAUGGUAGUGCUUCCUACUUAAACCAAUUUAAUAUUCCCAAGGCUUUUAAGAAAAAACUUCAGCUCAUUCUGUUUUCCCACCACUAAACUUAUGGUGAAAUAUAUAUCACCUCUGAAAUCAUGACUUUAUCUCACAAAUUUUGACCUUACUAUCUCAGACCUCCAUCUUACUGUGGUGACAAAAUAAAUGCAAAGUAACGGUCAGCGGUUAGUGCUGGAAGAACAAAGACCUACUGCAUGAAGACUGGUUGUGCACUCUAUCAAAUGCUUUCUUUUCCUACUGACCAUUGAAAUGGGCAAGGCUCAGGCUCAUGGAUCUGUUUGACUUGCAGGAACAAAGCAAUCAAUCACCGUGACUAUGGACAGCAUCUAUGCUACUAUGCUUUGGGGCACAAAAAUGUUUUUCAAUGUGAAUGAGGUACAUUGUAGUUCAAAUUCAGCAGCAUAUUAAGUGCCUAAAUGCUGACAGGUUUUAUUACUUGACUCUGGAGGCAGGAGUAAAAGGAAAGCAAAAUUAUUUAAGUCCUUCAGGAAAUAAAAGCAUGCUUGCUGGCUUUAUUAUGAGUAUUUGAUGAUAAGUAAGGGUUAAGUAGCCUUCGAGUCUCAGGGUCAGUAUUCUUUCAGCAAACAUUUAUUGAAUACAUACUCAUUUUCCUUUAUUUCAUGAGUAUACGUUUGCCCUCCUGGCAAGCAUUUAAGGUGGCUGAACCCUAUUAUAUUCCAAGCUUUGUGCUAGGUGUUGGAAACACAAAAAAUUAUAUAUAGUCCUUGCCUUCAUGGAUCCCAUUUAUCAGAAACAUAAGUUUCUAGGGAAAUAAACUCUUACUCCCAGCCACUGGAUUUGAAUAGAAAUCAGUCUCAUUUCAAAUAAAAAAUAUUUUAAAUCAAACAAUGUUCUCAAGGAUUAUGAACCCUGCCAAUAAUGCAGGAAGGCACAGUAAGGGAAGAGCCAAAUAGAAAAAAUGAAACUGUCCAGAUAAUAUUUAAUAUGAAUGAAAUGCAAACUUUUGAUAAGGAAUAACUAGUACUAUGUCUGCAAGAGCAGGCAAGGGGGAUCAUCUAAUGGUCUCCCCACAAAGUGCCUCACAUUGUCUUGUCUGACAUGUCAUGAGUACAUUUCUUAUCUUUUUGCUGUAAAGUCAAAAAGCAGGCCCUAGACUCAAAAGAAAUUAUUUAAACCUAGUAAAACACUCAUUACGUCUAAAAAUAUAUAGUAUUAUUAUCCCCAAACCCCUAAAUGCUACCCAUAAUCAGUUUCCUAAAAACAGUAGAGGGAAAACAAAUUUGAUGAAAUUAAGAUGUUAGGUUUUUAAAAAUUAAUAAUAAUUUGUGGGUCCAGCAUGGUGGCUCACGCCUGUAAUCCCAGAGCUUUGGGAGACUGAGGCAGGCUUAUCACCUGAGGUCAGACAUUCGAGACCAGCCUGGCCAACAUGGUGAAACCCCAUCUCUACUAAAAAUACAUAAAUUAGUGGUGCAUGGUGGCAGGCGCCUGUAAUCCCAGCUACUCAGGAGGCUGAGGCAGGAGAUUUGGGAGGCAGAGGUUGCAAUGAGCCGAGAUCACGCCAUUGCACUCCAGCCUGGGCGACAAGAGCGAAACUUUGUCUCAGUAAUAAUAAUAAUAAUAAUAAUAAUAAUACUCUGUCUCAAUAAUAAUAAUAAUAAUAAUUUGUUUGCAGAAUAUAGAUAGCAUAGAAGGGAUUUUUCCCAACUCUUGGUAAAAAAAACAAAAAAGUCCAGGUGCAUGUACACAGGAAAUGAGAAUUUACCAUGGGGGGCGGGGAAAUAAGCUCCAACAAGCAAUCCACAUGUUAUGCUAGCAGAUGAGGCAGAGAUCUUGACAGAGUGCUAAGCGUGAGUGACUAAGGAAGGUGCUGGGAUGAGCUUCAUUUCCCUUGCCAACUCUCCAAUCCAUUUAGAUGUUCUAUGAGGAAUUAAUCUCAAAAGCCUUCAGUACAACAGGGGAAGAGAUAUGCGUUGAAAUUCCUUGACAAAAACCUCAAAGGAACUCCACUGUAUUUCAAAGAGCAUGAAAAACCACUUAUGAAGAAAAAGACAAAUGAAGUUAGAGAGUCUUAUUACUAUUGAGACUAAACCUAUAUUUAGAAGGAAUCUUGGUAGACAUAUAGACCAAAUCCAAUGUAAGAUUCCCUUUCACAGCACGUGGGAUAGGUGGUUAUUUUAACUGUUGGGCAUUCACAGGAACAGGAAAUCUUACUAACUUGAGUCUAUUCCUCUUUAGAACAACUCUUAUUAGACAAUUCUUCCUUAUAUUGAAGCAAACAUUUGUCACCUGUAAAGUUCCUCUUUGUUCUUAUUUUUGCCCUUUGAAGCUACACAGAAUAAAUCUAAUUCCUCUUCCUUUUCAUAGCUCAAUAGAAAUUUCUAGGCAGCUAUUGUAUCAUUCCCUCCUUGUCUGCACUCCCUUUCCAGCUAUACCUUCUGUUCCUUCAGGGAAGCUACUCCCUUGUUCUUGCAUCAUCAGACCCUUUACAACCCUGGUCACCUCCCUAUGGACACAAUCAACUUAUUAAUGUCUCUCUUAAAAUAUGAUACCCAUAAUUGAACUCAACCCUCCAUUUAGAUAUGGACUAGAUGGAGGGUUAAUAAAAGCAUGUAAGGCUUUUAUUAACACCAGCUGACUACAUUAGCUUUGUGAAUAGCCAUGAUAUAUUUCUGAUUCAACAUUGAACCUCCAUUUCUGUAAGGAAAUAUUUCUCUAUAAACUACCGUGAAACCAGGUCUUCCUAACACCGUUCCCAUCAACACCACACACAUAAACACACACAAACACACACAUCCACAAACACACACUCCACUCUGUACUUAGAGGGUUGCAUUUUAAAAACCCAGAAUAUAGGGUUUCUCAUUAAUGCCUAUUCAAUCAUCAUUUUACUUUCAGUCUUAGUUCAGAUAUUUCAAAAUACUGUAACUAUUUCUAUAUCCCAGUGUCAAUACACAUUUAGACUCCAAUGAUUGUUCAUUGAAUACAUUAAUCUUGAAUCCAUCAGCCAAAAACUGGAGAUAUUUUUCAUUUCUGCAUCAUCUACAAAUCCAAUGAAGUGUGCUUUCUGUCCCCCGACUUGUAUUCUUCAUGGGAGAAAACACUAAGAUACAAAUAAGAAGCAGAGGUGAGUAGGAACGGAUGAAGGAAAAGAAGAUUAAUUGUCCCAGAAACAGAUGAAGAAAAAGAAGAUGGAGUGAGCGUUCUGACUCUUGGAAUCAGAAUAUAAUGUUCCCAACAUUAGAAAAAUAUGGCUUUUCCACGUCUCUACCCUAGAGAUGCCUUUUCAAUCCAAUCCAAUACUGUGAUUAUCAAACUCUGAAUUUUGGGGGAAAGCUCAUUCAAGCUUAAUUUUAAAACAGCUUUAAAAAUUAUCUUUGCAGCUUAAAUUUCCUAUAAAGUUGGGUUAAAGGGACAUGCAACUGUCUAUUGGUCAUGAGGUAUAAAAAGAACUCCCAAAUGCCCCUUACAAAUGCCUCAGGUAUUAUGUAUAUUUGUUUCAGGAAUCAGAAGUGGACUGUAUUUUUCAGUGUGAAUUUGGGAAUUCACUGAGAUUGAAUCUACCUCUUGAACUGAACAUCAUCUUAUAUUUAAUGUCUCUUUUCUCCAAAAUGAAGAAAACUAAGAUUAAUUUUGCCUUCCCCUCAACACCCAUUUUGCAGAAUGUGGGUCCAUUCACAAAAUUAAAAAGUCUCCUAUUGUGCCUUUUUCCAUUGUCUAUUGUGACUCAGGAUAGCAAAUCCUGUGACUGAAACCUUAGAGAGAUGGAAAAAGUGUUCCAAUCUAAACGAUCUAGAGCCAGGAGGGAAAUGUCUUGAAAGCUUAACAGUUAAAGAAUGGAGACACCUCAAAAAGGUCUAGUAAGACCCAAAGAGGAAAUUUGUUUUGCACCUUUUCUGAACCUUUUCUAGACAGAGUGAAAGAGAUGGAUUCUUAAUUAACUUCUCAAGACUGCCUUUGCCAGAAAGUUAUGCGAGUGACAGAUGAACAUCAGAAGGCAAUCGUGCUAACACUGAUGUGGGAGGUUCUUUUCCUGACUGUAACAGUCACAACAAACCACAUACCAGUGCUGUGAGAUAA
rnacentral:lncRNA from 1 species